rnacentral:rRNA from 1 species
UACGGAGACUGCAAGCGUUAUUCGGAUUCACUGGGCGUAAAGGGCGCGUAGGCGGCCACCGGCAAGUCGAUUGUGAAAUCUCCGGGCUUAACCCGGAAAGGUCAACCGAUACUGCGGGGCUAGAGUGCAGAAGGGGCAACUGGAAUUCUCGGUGUAGCGGUGAAAUGCGUAGAUAUCAGGAGGAACACCGGUGGCGAAGGCGGGUUGCUGGGCUGACACUGACGCUGAUGCGCGAAAGCUAGGGGAGCGAACGGG